rnacentral:ncRNA from 1 species
AUUAAAUAGGCAAAAUUUUCUAAAGAAAAUGACGCAAAGCUAUAGGGUCUAAACCAUUGAAAUGGUAUGACAGCCAGUUGCUG